rnacentral:rRNA from 1 species
GGUUAAGCGACUAAGCGUACACGGUGGAUGCCCUGGCAGUCAGAGGCGAUGAAGGGCGUGCUAAUCUGCGAUAAGCGCCGGUAAGGUGAUAUGAACCGUUAUAACCGGCGAUACCCGAAUGGGGAAACCCAGUGUGAUUCGUCACACUAUCAUUAACUGAAUCCAUAGGUUAAUGAGGCGAACCGGGGGAACUGAAACAUCUAAGUACCCCGAGGAAAAGAAAUCAACCGAGAUUCCCCCAGUAGCGGCGAGCGAACGGGGAGGAGCCCAGAGCCUGAAUCAGCAUGUGUGUUAGUGGAAGCGUCUGGAAAGGCGCGCGAUACAGGGUGACAGCCCCGUACACAAAAGCGCAUGUGCUGUGAGCUCGAUGAGUAGGGCGGGACACGUGGUAUCCUGUCUGAAUAUGGGGGGACCAUCCUCCAAGGCUAAAUACUCCUGACUGACCGAUAGUGAACCAGUACCGUGAGGGAAAGGCGAAAAGAACCCCGGCGAGGGGAGUGAAAAAGAACCUGAAACCGUGUACGUACAAGCAGUGGGAGCACAGGUUUACCUGUGUGACUGCGUACCUUUUGUAUAAUGGGUCAGCGACUUAUAUUCUGUAGCAAGGUUAACCGAAUAGGGGAGCCGGAGGGAAACCGAGUCUUAACCGGGCGUUAAGUUGCAGGGUAUAGACCCGAAACCCGGUGAUCUAGCCAUGGGCAGGUUGAAGGUUGGGUAACACUAACUGGAGGACCGAACCGACUAAUGUUGAAAAAUUAGCGGAUGACCUGUGGCUGGGGGUGAAAGGCCAAUCAAACCGGGAGAUAGCUGGUUCUCCCCGAAAGCUAUUUAGGUAGCGCCUCGUGAAUUCAUCUCCGGGGGUAGAGCACUGUUUCGGCUAGGGGGCCAUCCCGGCUUACCAACCCGAUGCAAACUGCGAAUACCGGAGAAUGUUAUCACGGGAGACACACGGCGGGUGCUAACGUCCGUCGUGAAGAGGGAAACAACCCAGACCGCCAGCUAAGGUCCCAAAGUCAUGGUUAAGUGGGAAACGAUGUGGGAAGGCCCAGACAGCCAGGAUGUUGGCUUAGAAGCAGCCAUCAUUUAAAGAAAGCGUAAUAGCUCACUGGUCGAGUCGGCCUGCGCGGAAGAUGUAACGGGGCUAAACCAUGCACCGAAGCUGCGGCAGCGAACGUAUCACUUAAAGCGAUUCAGCGGGUUACGAUUGACGGAGCGAAGCGACGUCAAAGCGUAUACAAAGUCGAGUCGGUUUAAGGAUACGUUCGUUGGGUAGGGGAGCGUUCUGUAAGCCUGCGAAGGUGGCCUGUGAGGGUUGCUGGAGGUAUCAGAAGUGCGAAUGCUGACAUAAGUAACGAUAAAGCGGGUGAAAAGCCCGCUCGCCGGAAGACCAAGGGUUCCUGUCCAACGUUAAUCGGGGCAGGGUGAGUCGACCCCUAAGGCGAGGCCGAAAGG